rnacentral:lncRNA from 1 species
UGGCCCCUUCCAAAGUAUGGGGAUACAGCAGGAAGUUGCCAUCUAUGAGCCAGAAGGGUGAACCUCACCCCAGAUGCUGAAUCUGCCUUGAUAUUGGACUUCCCAGCCUGCACAACUGACAAACUGGAAACACAGGUUAUAUCACCAAGGCUUUGACUGAAACAUCAUGUUUUCAGAUAUGACCAGAAGGCUUUAGGGGACUAAAGUUGGCUUUAUGGAACCAAUAAAGUACCAUCUUGGAAAAACUGGCUCUAGGGUUCCCAGACUUACAGUUCUGUUUCAUCAAAUGGAAAUGGGACAUGGACAGUUUCUCCUAUCCCAUGCAGACCAUGCUCCUGAAUUAAAACUGCAGAAUGUGUUAAAGCAUCAUUCAACAUCGUGAGCACAUUUGAGCCUACUUGUGAAGACAAGGAUGAAGACCUCCAUGAUGAGCCAUCUCCACUUAAUGACUGUCUCACAUUGGCCGGCAACUUGUUCCAGUUUGUGUCUUCCAGAUUACAAUAAUUCCAUGUAAAGAUGAUGCUGGCACAAGGCUUUCAACCCAUCCCCUCUUCUGACCCAGAAGAUAAAGACAUCCUACCUUUGAGCCUUUUAGAACAGGUAUCCAGGGAUUUUACCUCUCCAGUGCUAGGCAGGGUCUAUGCCCAUAACAUCAGCAGGAAGCAGUUACAGAAGAUGAACCUCCGCCCUUCUGCAAGCCCCUUAAGAUUAAGGAGGAGUAUAUAAUCUCUGAUGGGGAAAUGAGGUAGGAGACCAGAAGGACUUAUUUUCCAUUCCCAACCCCAUUGAACAGAGCAGGAUCUGGUCAAAACAGGGUGCAGUGGAGAAGCCUGCUGAAACCAGCAGAUGAUGAUGAAAGUGACCUCUAGUUGCCCUCACUGCUUAUGAGCAUAAAGACACUACCACUGGGACCAUGGCCAGUUUACAAAUGUCAUGGCAACACACCUUGGCAAUGGCCUGGAAGUUACUUUAUAUGGUUCUGGAAACUCCCUGCCCCUUUCCCAGAAAGUUCUGAAUAACCUACCUCUUAAUUGGCAUGCAAUUAAAAGUGGCUCUAAAUACAACUAGCUAGUAGCCCACAGGCACAAACUCUGGGCACACUGCCUAUAGGUUAGCCCUGCUCUGCAAGAAGUAGCACCAGUUCAAUAAAAGUUGCUUUCUCUCA